UGGCGGGCUAGCCCGGGUAACUCGGCGUUUCCUGUAACCCGAAACCGUCGACAGCGGGGGGCGAAGCCUGAGGAAGAAGUUUUGACUGUUGCCCAACACGCAGGUUCUACUGUGAAACCCCGUCCUAUGGGGCUGGCGCUGGUACAUCGGUUUUCCUGAAGGAAGGUUGAUGUAUCUUAAUCGCGGACAAAGGUCCAGGCCCGGAAGGGAGCAAACCAGCCGUGAACAACUAUCGCUCAUGGGGUUGCGGGGCGGAGGCGAGUCUGCGGACCACUGGACAGCGGAAGGAGCUACGACCGAAGGCGUGCUCGCUA
rnacentral:SRP_RNA from 1 species